GCCCAGGUGGCUCAGUCGGUUGAGCGUCCGACUUCGGCUUGGGUCGCGAUCUCACGGUUCGUGAGUUCGAGCCCCGCGUUGGGCU
rfam:Felis catus isolate Cinnamon breed Abyssinian chromosome E3, whole genome shotgun sequence.